CUGGGGUAGAAAGGUAGGCCUACUGUCUGGGGUAGAAAGGUAGGCCUCCUGUCUGGGGUAGAAAGGUAGGCCUCCUGUCUGGGGUAGAAAGGUAUGCCUACUGUCUGGGGUGGAAAGGUAAGUCUACUGUCUGGGGUAGAAAGGUAAGUCUACUGUCUGGGGUAGAAAGGUAUGCCUACUGUCUGGGGUAGAAAGGUAUGCCUACUGUCUGGGGUGGAAAGGUAAGUCUACUGUCUGGGGUAGAAAGGUAAGUCUACUGUCUGGGGUAGAAAGGUAUGCCUCCUGUCUGGGGUAGAAAGGUAUGCCUCCUGUCUGGGGUAGAAAGGUAUGCCUCCUGUCUGGGGUAGAAAGGUAGGCCUACUGUCUGGGGUAGAAAGGUAAGUCUACUGUCUGGGGUAGAAAGGUAAGUCUACUGUCUGGGGUAGAAAGGUAGGCCUACUGUCUGGGGUAGAAAG
ensembl:lncRNA